rnacentral:lncRNA from 1 species
CAUGAACAUAAAUUCUCAUCCCUUCAACACGAACAUUCCCUUCACACUGGACUUAAGGACAAUCCCAACAACAUUAUUACAAAUCUGACCAAUGAUUCUCUCACCCCCGAAGAAGAACGCGUGCUUCGUUUUGGUCUGAAACAUGGCUUAGCAACACGAGCAAAGGAAUCUGAUAUCAUCGCCUCAACCGAGUCAAUAUGGG